UCGGAUAUGGUGUACUGGUUCACCGCCUUUCCCAGUUCCAAUUGAGUGAAUCGGCAGAGGCAGAUCGGGGUUCGACUCCCCGUGUCCGAG